GANNGCCGGGNCNCACCCUAUAGAUNCACCUCGGAGCGUNAGCACGGGUACUUGUACCUGNUUGACNAGCGGCGGACGGGUGAGUAAUGCCUAGGAAUCUGCCUGGUAGUGGGGGAUAACGCUCGGAAACGGACGCUAAUACCGCAUACGUCCUACGGGAGAAAGCAGGGGACCUUCGGGCCUUGCGCUAUCAGAUGAGCCUAGGUCGGAUUAGCUAGUUGGUGAGGUAAUGGCUCACCAAGGCGACGAUCCGUAACUGGUCUGAGAGGAUGAUCAGUCACACUGGAACUGAGACACGGUCCAGACUCCUACGGGAGGCAGCAGUGGGGAAUAUUGGACAAUGGGCGAAAGCCUGAUCCAGCCAUGCCGCGUGUGUGAAGAAGGUCUUCGGAUUGUAAAGCACUUUAAGUUGGGAGGAAGGGCAGUUACCUAAUACGUAUCUGUUUUGACGUUACCGACAGAAUAAGCACCGGCUAACUCUGUGCCAGCAGCCGCGGUAAUACAGAGGGUGCAAGCGUUAAUCGGAAUUACUGGGCGUAAAGCGCGCGUAGGUGGUUUGUUAAGUUGAAUGUGAAAUCCCCGGGCUCAACCUGGGAACUGCAUCCAAAACUGGCAAGCUAGAGUAUGGUAGAGGGUGGUGGAAUUUCCUGUGUAGCGGUGAAAUGCGUAGAUAUAGGAAGGAACACCAGUGGCGAAGGCGACCACCUGGACUGAUACUGACACUGAGGUGCGAAAGCGUGGGGAGCAACAGGAUUANAUACCCUGGUAGUCCCGCCGUAAACGAUGUCACUAGCCGUUGGAGCUUGACUCUUAGUGGCNCACUACCAUAAGUNACGCCUGGGAUCGCNCAGUUAACUAAUNAUNACGGGCCCNAACGUGACUUGUUAUCAACACNAAACUCNGCUGNUCAGANUCAAAGAUGGCUCGAAUNANGGCCUNUCCCCGCGAAUGUACCAACNCUUCUNUCCNUGGCUAGANCGAACGAAGGAACAUUGCUCCGNCCUAGGAGUCCGGAUAAACACCCGAAANNAGGANNNCCCNGGCANCGGNUUGA
rnacentral:rRNA from 1 species